AUUGAACGCUGGCGGAAUGCUUUACACAUGCAAGUCGAACGGCAGCACGGACUUCGGUCUGGUGGCGAGUGGCGAACGGGUGAGUAAUAUAUCGGAACGUAUCCAAUAAUGGGGGAUAACUAGUCGAAAGAUUGGCUAAUACCGCAUACGCCCUACGGGGGAAAGCAGGGGAUCUUCGGACCUUGCGUUAAUGGAGCGGCCGAUAUCUGAUUAGCUAGUUGGGGGGGUAAAGGCCCACCAAGGCGACGAUCAGUAGCUGGUCUGAGAGGACGACCAGCCACACUGGAACUGGGACCCGGUCCAGACUCCUACGGGAGGCAGAAGUGGGGAAUUUUGGACAAUGGGCGCAAGCCUGAUCCAGCCAUUCCGCGUGAGUGAAGAAGGCCUUCGGGUUGUAAAGCUCUUUCGCAAGGGAAGAAAACUUAGCCACUAACAUUGGCUGAGGUUGACGGUACCUUGAUAAGAAGCACCGGCUAACUACGUGCCAGCCGCCGCCGUAAUAC
rnacentral:rRNA from 1 species